rnacentral:rRNA from 1 species
GAAUCCGGGAGGACCAUCUCCCAAGGCUAAAUACUCCCUAGUGACCGAUAGUGAACCAGUACCGUGAGGGAAAGGUGAAAAGCACCCCGGAAGGGGAGUGAAAUAGAACCUGAAACCGUGUGCCUACAACAAGUCAAAGCCCGUUAAUGGGUGAUGGCGUGCCUUUUGUAGAAUGAACCGGCGAGUUACGAUUGCAUGCGAGGUUAAGUUGAAGAGACGGAGCCGCAGCGAAAGCGAGUCUGAAUAGGGCGUUUGAGUAUGUAGUCGUAGACCCGAAACCAUGUGAUCUACCCAUGUCCAGGUUGAAGGUGCGGUAAAACGCACUGGAGGACCGAACCCACGUACGUUGAAAAGUGCGGGGAUGAGGUGUGGGUAGCGGAGAAAUUCCAAACGAACUUGGAGAUAGCUGGUUCUCUCCGAAAUAGCUUUAGGGCUAGCCUCGGAAUUGAGAAUGAUGGAGGUAGAGCACUGUUUGGACUAGGGGCCCAUCUCGGGUUACCGAAUUCAGAUAAACUCCGAAUGCCAUUCAUUCAUAUCCGGGAGUCAGACUGUGAGUGAUAAGAUCCAUAGUCGAAAGGGAAACAGCCCAGACCACCAGCUAAGGUCCCAAAAUAUAUGUUAAGUGGAAAAGGAUGUGGGGUUGCACAGACAACUAGGAUGUUGGCUUAGAAGCAGCCACCAUUUAAAGAGUGCGUAAUAGCUCACUAGUCGAGUGACCCUGCGCCGAAAAUGUACCGGGGCUAAACAUAUUACCGAAGCUGUGGAGUACACCUUUAGGUGUAUUGGUAGGAGAGCGUUCUAAGGGCGUC